GUUCAUCGAUAGAUGUUUUGGUAUGUUCCAUGUCAUCAUAUGGAUUUUUUUCGUAAUUUCAACUGUUGUAAUUUGUACAGCUCUUUUGGGGUUGAAUGGAGCCGAUGUUUCCAAUAUCGAAGGUGUUAUUAAAGUGGUGAAAUCGACAAUGCCCCUUGUGGUUUCAUUAAUUUACAUUUGUGUACUGUGUCUCUUCGGUGACGAUGUCACUUCGAGACUUGAACUAAUCAAUAAUUCGAUUGGCCAAACUUCUUGGAAUGUGCUCCCAUUGGAAGUGCAAAAAUAUAUUAUGAUUAUGUUUUUGAUUGCACAGAAGCCAGUUUAUAUUCGAGGUUUUAUGAACACAAAAUGCACUCGGGAGGUUCUCAAAAAUGUUAUAAAUGGCGCAUUUUCAUAUUUCAUGAUGCUACGUAGUUUUGGAGGCUAACUCUCAUGAUGGUCACUGUUCUACGUUCUAUUUCGAAAAUGAGAAUGAUUUUUUUUCUUUUUAUUAUAAUUAUAAUAUUAAUAUAUGAGGCUGUGAGAAUGAAAAUGGCAAUACAAGAAUAAACAUUCUGAAACGCAUCAAGAAAAAAAAUUCGCAAAAAUGAAUCAUGAGUUCUGAAUAUGCAAAAGUGAAACAUGAAUUUACAUGGGCAGCAUAGGAGGUUCAUGUUUCACUUUUGCGUAUU